rnacentral:rRNA from 1 species
CCUACGGGUGGCUGCAGUGGGGAAUAUUGGACAAUGGGGGGAACCCUGAUCCAGCCAUGCCGCGUGUGUGAAGAAGGCCCUCGGGUUGUAAAGCACUUUCAGUGAGGAAGAACGCCUGGUGGUUAAUACCCAUCAGGAAAGACAUCACUCACAGAAGAAGCACCGGCUAACUCCGUGCCAGCAGCCGCGGUAAUACGGAGGGUGCGAGCGUUAAUCGGAAUUACUGGGCGUAAAGCGCGCGUAGGUGGCUUGAUAAGCCGGUUGUGAAAGCCCCGGGCUCAACCUGGGAAUGGCAUCCGGAACUGUCAAGCUAGAGUGCAGGAGAGGAAGGUAGAAUUCCCGGUGUAGCGGUGAAAUGCGUAGAGAUCGGGAGGAAUACCAGUGGCGAAGGCGGCCUUCUGGACUGACACUGACACUGAGGUGCGAAAGCGUGGGUAGCAAACAGGAUUAGAUACCCUGGUAGUC